AUGGGGAAACUUCAUCUGCUAGCUCUGCUUCUUCCUGUACUUCUUGGGUUACCUCUGUUGUACAUCUGUGAGAUACUAUGGCUGAGGCCAGAGAGGAUAAGAAAGAAACUAAGGAAGCAAGGUGUGAGGGGUCCCAGGCCUACUUUGCUCUAUGGCAACACCCAGGAGAUAAAGAGGAUCCGACAAGAGGCAUUGCCUGCGCAGAAGCAAGACACCAGUAACUACAUGUCCACCCUCUUUCCUCAGUUCAUGAUCUGGAGGGAAACAUAUGGGUCGGUAUUCCUCUACUCAACAGGAGCUGUGGAGAUUCUGUAUGUUUCUGACCCUGGCAUGGUCAAGGACAUGAGCCACUGCACAUCAUCUGAGCUCGGAAAGCCUAUUUUUAUACAGAAAUCUCGCAAACCACUCUUCGGUGAAGGCAUCUUGGUGGCAAAUGGCAAUAUAUGGGCCUAUCAGAGAAAGAUCAUUGCACAAGAGUUCUUCAUGGAGAAGAUUAAGGUCAUGAUAGAACUAAUAGUGGAGGCUUCUGCCCCACUGCUAGAAGCAUGGGAUAGUAUGCUUGACGGCACGGGAGGGAGUAGAGAGAUAGAUGUGGAUGGUUAUUUGCGGAGUUUUUCGGCGGAUGUAAUCGCCAGGGCAUGUUUUGGCAGCAAUUUCGCAACAGGGGAAGAAAUAUUCUACAAGCUCAGGCAGCUUCAGAAGGCGAUUUCUCAGCAAGAUGCACUUGUUGGAUUAUCCGCAGUGUGGAAGAGUUUGCCGACCAAGGCCAAUCGAGAGAUACAAAAGCUGGAGCAAGAAGUUCGGUUACUCAUCCUGAAUGUCGCAAAGGAACACAGCCGUGGCAGCAGCAGCGAACACGACGAUUGCAUAAAGACUAAACACAAUGGCCUUCUCCGCUCGAUUGUCAAUAGUGCUCGCCAUUGUCCGGCCAGCUUCCGUGGCAGCGCCGAGGACUACAUCGUCGACAACUGCAAGAGCAUCUACUUUGCUGGGCACGAGACUACAGCCGUCACCGUCACCUGGUGCCUGAUGUUGCUGGCCACACACCCGGCGUGGCAGGACCGUGCCCGUGCCGAGGCUCUAGAGGUGUGCCGUGGAGGCACAGAGCUCGACGUCGACGUCCUCCGGCGGCUGAAAACGAUCACCAUGGUGAUCCAGGAGACUCUCCGGCUGUACCCUCCGGGGUCAUUGAUUAUGCGCGAAGCGCUGAAGGACUUCAAGCUCGGUGGGCUCGACAUCCCACGGGGGACGAUCAUCCAGAUAGCCAUAGCAAUGCUGCACCUCGACAAGGAUGUUUGGGGCCAGGACGCCGGUGAGUUCCGGCCUGAUCGGUUUGCGAACGGCGCCGCUGCGGCGUGCGAGCCGUCACACAUGUACCUGCCGUUUGGGCACGGGCCCAGAAUUUGUGCUGGGCAGAACCUGGCGAUGAUGGAGCUGAAGGUGGUGCUCGUGCGCCUGCUGAGCAAGUUCGCCUUCGCACCGUCGCCCGGGUACCGGCACGCGCCGUUGUUCCGGCUCACCGUCGAGCCUGGGUUCGGCAUGCCUCUUGUCGUCACGAAGCUUCCAUGA
rnacentral:rRNA from 1 species